GAUGAACGCUGGCGGCGUGCCUAAUACAUGCAAGUCGAGCGAACGGACGAGAAGCUUGCUUCUCUGACGUUAGCGGCGGACGGGUGAGUAACACGUGGAUAACCUACCUAUAAGACUGGGAUAACUUCGGGAAACCGUAGCUAAUACCGGAUAAUAUUUUGAACCGCAUGGUUCAAAAGUGAAAGACGGUUUUGCUGUCACUUAUAGAUGGAUCCGCGCUGCAUUAGCUAGUUGGUAAGGUAACGGCUUACCAAGGCAACGAUGCAUAGCCGACCUGAGAGGGUGAUCGGCCACACUGGAACUGAGACACGGUCCAGACUCCUACGGGAGGCAGCAGUAGGGAAUCUUCCGCAAUGGGCGAAAGCCUGACGGAGCAACGCCGCGUGAGUGAUGAAGGCCUUCGGAUCGUAAAACUCUGUUAUUAGGGAAGAACAUAUGUGUAAGUAACUGUGCACAUCUUGACGGUACCUAAUCAGAAAGCCACGGCUAACUACGUG
rnacentral:rRNA from 1 species